rnacentral:rRNA from 1 species
AAUCAACGCUGGCGGCGUGCCUAACACAUGCAAGUCGAACGCGAGAGGGGCUUCGGCCCCAAUUGAGUGGCGAACGGGUGAGUAACACGUGGGUGAUCUACCUUUGAGUGGGGGAUAACGUUCCGAAAGGAACGCUAAUACCGCAUGACGUUCCGGGUUUGAAGACCUGGAAACCAAAGCCGGGGCCCUUAGGGAAACUUAAGGCCUGGCGCUUGGAGAGGAGCCCGCGCCUGAUUAGCUAGUUGGUGGGGUAACGGCNCACCAAGGCGACGAUCAGUAGCCGGCCUGAGAGGGCGGACGGCCACACUGGGACUGAGACACGGCCCAGACUCCUACGGGAGGCAGCAGUGGGGAAUUGUUCGCAAUGGGCGCAAGCCUGACGACGCAACGCCGCGUGAGGAUGAAGUCUUCGAUGUAACUACCUGUUGACCGGGACGAAUGGGCUCCGACCAAUACGUCGGGGCAUUGACGGUACCGGUUGAGGAAGCCACGGCUAACUCUGUGCCAGCCGCCGCAGU